rnacentral:rRNA from 1 species
GAUGAACGCUGGCGGCGUGCCUAAUACAUGCAAGUCGAGCGAAUGGAUUAAGAGCUUGCUCUUAUGAAGUUAGCGGCGGACGGGUGAGUAACACGUGGGUAACCUGCCCAUAAGACUGGGAUAACUCCGGGAAACCGGGGCUAAUACCGGAUAACAUUUUGAACCGCAUGGUUCGAAAUUGAAAGGCGGCUUCGGCUGUCACUUAUGGCUGGACCCGCGUCGCAUUAGCUAGUUGGUGAGGGAACGGCUCACCAAGGCAACGAUGCGUAGCCGACCUGAGAGGGUGAUCGGCCACACUGGGACUGAGACACGGCCCAGACUCCUACGGGAGGCAGCAGUAGGGGAUCUUCCGCAAUGGACGAAAGUCUGACGGAGCAACGCCGCGUGAGUGAUGAAGGCUUUCGGGUCGUAAAACUCUGUUGUUAGGGAAGAACAAGUGCUAGUUGAAUAAGCUGGCACCUUGACGGUACCUAACCAGAAAGCCACGGCUAACUACGUGCCAGCCGCCGCGGUAA